UAUACGAUCUAUAUUCAUCGAGUCGCGUUGCUUGGGAGUGCAGCGCAAAGUGGGAGGUACAGAUCUUCUAAAGCUAAAUAUUGGCGAGAGACCGAUAGCGAACAAGUACCGCGAGGGAAAGAUGAAAAGGACUUUGAAAAGAGAGUUAAAGAGUGCUUGAAAUCGGCAAGAGGAAACCCGUUUGCGCC
rnacentral:rRNA from 13 species